AGUACAAUGCCGCAGAUUUGGACAACGUAGACGUUCGAUCCUGACUCUGGGGUGCUGACAUAGUCCUGUCUGGCACUAUCAGUGAAAUGUAUGACAUGUUCCUGGCGAUCUAUGACGAGAAAAUGAAACAGCUGUCUAACUACUACAUCCUCCUGGCCAACACUGGCGUCCCUCAAUACACUGCGGGAUUAAACUCGCUCCAGACAACCAUCCAAGUAUCUGGAGUAAAUUCUGAAACUAGUUCAUGCACCUCUGCCACGACCUGGACACCUCCUACCCCGGGAACCUACUCAAGAAUAUUUAUCCCAC